rnacentral:rRNA from 1 species
AUGGCGUAUGCAAGUGAUGAGAGUAUAUUCGAGUAUCUAAAUGUUGUCAGCAAGAUGUUUGAUAGUGAGGCUGAAGGCUAUGAAUUCUACAACAAAUAUGCUCUUAAAGGUUUUAGUGUGAGGAAAAGCUAUGUUGAGUGGGAUGGAUCCAACAAAUACAUAAUUUUAAGGAAAAUUGUGUGUAGUCGUCAAGGGUUUCGCGAAGAGAAGCACAUGAAAAGAAAGAUAGAAGAUAGAAAGAGGAGGCCACGAAGUUUAACUCGUGUUGGGUGUAAUGCUAAAUUGGUCAUUACGAGACAGGAGGAAACCGGUCGGUGGUUUGUCAAGGAUUUCAUCGAUGAGCACAGCCAUCUUCUAGCCCCACGGGAUCUUUCUUGUCUGCUGCGUUCACACAGACGAAUUAGCGAUGAGCAGAAAGCGGACAUUGCGGACAUGGAAAAAUGUGGGAUCCGCAAAUACCGUAUUAUGGAUAUUUUGUGCUUUCAAUACGGUGGAUUUGAUAAGGUUGGAUGCAUAAAGAGGGACAUUUAUAAUUUCUGCCAUGCUAAUAAGCAGGAGACAAUCAGUGCCGGUGAUGCUAAUACUGAAGGAAAUAUGCCCUAG